rnacentral:rRNA from 1 species
AUUGAACGCUGGCGGCAGGCCUAACACAUGCAAGUCGAACGAGUGGCGGACGGGAGAGUAAUGUCUGGGAAACUGCCUGAUGGAGGGGGAUAAAUACUGGAAACGGUAGCUAAUACCGCAUACCAUCGGAUGUGCCCAUAAGGGAUUAGCUAGUAGGUGUGGUAAAGGCUCACCUAGGCGACGAUCCCUAGCUGGUCUGAGAGGAUGACCAGCCACACUGGAACUGUGACACGGUCCAGACUCCUACGGGAGGCAGCAGUGGGGCAGAUUGCACAAUGGGCGCAAGCCUGAUGCAGCCAUGCCGCGUGUAUGAAGAAGGCCUUCGGGUUGUAAAGUACUUUCAGCGAGGAGGCGUUACCCGCAGAAGAAGCACCGGCUAACUCCGUGCCAGCAGCCGCGGUAAUAC